rnacentral:tRNA from 1 species
GAUUAAUAAGCUUUUAUAAGCAUUUGUUUUGAAAACUUAAGAAAGAAAUAAUUAAAUUUCUAUUAAUUU